rnacentral:lncRNA from 10 species
GAUGGACAGGAAAAGAUAUUGCUUUUCCUCCCCUACAAAUUGCAAAGAACAACCCUGCCACAGGACCGUCCCAUAGACUGGUAUUGUUCACAGGCCACUUAGAAAGGCCUUUAGAGGACCCGCUAGGGUCAGCUUCACUGCAGUUUCCUGGUGGCACUUUGACAGUCUACAAACCAGCUGGAAAGCAAAGACCAUCACCAUGAAAAGGCCCUGGGCAGCAAACAGAGCCCCGACUUCCAUCCAGAGCUCAGCCUGAAGGAAAGCUCCAGCCAGAGGCUCCAGCCACCGGGUCUCAGAGCUACAGGCACUUUUACACAGGGGUAGACAGAGAUGAGGUGGGAGCUGAUGCAUUAUGCCUGGAAGGUACCAAGAAAAUGAUCAUGGAUAUUUCUAUUUGACACUUUAUUGUGUUUUUCUUUUUAAAAGAUUUGAAAUCGUUCAGGACAAUUUCUUAUUUCUAGCAACAGAGUGAUCUAAACCACUGAUUGCUUGGAAAUCAAGAGAUUCUGUUUAUGGAUCUGAACUUAGGUCUAACAACUCUGUUUCACACUAUCGGCGGGCUUUAGCAGUGCAGUUUCCAGAUAGUAUCUGAAAUUUUAAAAAAAGGGAGCGUGGGGAGAGAAAAUAAUUUGGGAGUAAUCUGAGCCUCUCCGAAACGGAUAAGAUCCAAGAAACCUCAGUCUCAAAUGACAUGCAGAGCAACUUGUACAUUCAUUUACUGACUCCAAAAUGGUCUCAUUCUUACUGAAUCGAUUUUUCUCCUGUAUCUUUUAAAACCUAACGCCCUUAGCUGUUAGCAACAUAUUUUUAAAUGACAUCAGAGUGCCCUUUUCUAAUUGGUAAAAAGCAGUCAUCAUGAGGAUGAGUCAUUCCAGGACCCAGACGUCCCCUCAGUGUCCAGUUUCCUCCAGAAACACUUAGGUACGAAAGUGGGUCAGAAGUGCCCAUCAUCCCAGGCAUAUUCCUUCUUGAAUGUUUAAACCAACAUUGUUUUGUACUUAUAAGGAAUUGUUAUACUAAUCAUUUUUUUGCCAAAUUGGCCAUAAUAUAAUCCACCUACCACUGACCAACUACAGAAGAAAAAUUAAACAAAAGUUUUGCUGUUGUUAUCCUUUUUUUUCCUAGGGUUUGAGCUUCUGAAGCCAGGAGGUCACUUGGAUUAUGUAUACAACCUUAGUAAUUGCAUUCCUACAUUCUACGAAAUGCCACAGCACUCACUACAGUCCAAAAUAGCUGUUGCAAACAAUGACAAUUACUGCCCAGACAUUUUCAAACACAGCAGGUUACUGGCUGAAGCUGUGAUGGAAACCCUAAAAAAAUAUAAAUAUUUUGAAAUGCUCUGUAAAUCAGAAUGAUGCCCCAGACACAGAGUGGAUUGUCUUGAAGAAAACUGAAGUCAUUUGGAGGCUGCGAGGCUUUGUUGAAGGGUGUUGGAAAAUGUUGAACUUGUUAAUAUGAAGCCCAAAUGUCAUAAUUAAAUGAUUUUUAAGUUUUCUUUCUCUCCGGGAAUAGAGAUCUCAGUUUUGUCUGAUCACCCUCACCCUAUAAAGGCCCCUACUCUAUUGGAAAAAAGAUGACAAACCCUUAAAUUCCCACACUGCUUUCAUAUGUUCAGUAAUUCCAGCAUCUGAUGAGUGCUAAUGGGUGACUGUGACAAGUGUUUAUGGAAGGGAGAUCUGAGGCCACUGCCUGUGGCGAUCUGAGAGGCCUUGAGGAUACACAGCCGGGGCCAGAGAGCAGCAAUAAUGGCUGCCAAGGGGCCAGAGCCACAAGGAAUUUUGCUUAAACAUUCCAGCAGCUUCUGCCGCUCUGGGCCAGCCUGUGGAGGUUCCGCCUGCAGAGUCAUGGGGCUUUCUGUCUGGUCGGGGUGAUUUUCCCAUGGUGACUUUUGGAGAGAGGCUUCUGUGUCUGUUGGGGUUGAGGGGUAAGGUAAGAAAUCUGACACUAA